UCCAGGUGCUAAUCACAGCCUGAACCAACAUGAAAGGAGACAGAAGAUAGGGAGCUGGAUGAGAGCAUGUUCUCUGCUGUCUGUGGCCCGCCUGACAUGCUGUGGUCUGGGAAACGACCUACUUAUCACAGAGCAUCAGGCUGAAGAAGCACUCAAGCUACUGCUACAGGAAUAUGUACAUUAAAUUUAUACAUGAAACUGCGUGACGGCUGAGUGAGGACAAUUCACAGGACGUCCACCAGGGGGCGAGAGGGCUAAUUGAAGGCACGCUCACAGGAGAUUAGACAGGCCCAGUAUCCCCAUUCCCCGGAAGUCCGUCUUGGGGUCGUUGCCUUGGAAACCGAUGUCACACCACUGCUUGGAGAUACGGCCCGUGAGGGGGG